AGCGAACGCUGGCGGCAGGCCUAACACAUGCAAGUCGAGCGCCCCGCAAGGGGAGCGGCAGACGGGAGAGUAACACGUGGGAACAUGCCCUUCAGUACGGAACAACCAAGGGAAACUUUGGCUAAUACCGUAUACGUCCGUAAGGAGAAAGAUUUAUCGCUGAAGGAUUGGCCCGCGUCUGAUUAGCUAGUUGGUGAGGUAAUGGCUCACCAAGGCGACGAUCAGUAGCUGGUCUGAGAGGAUGAUCAGCCUCACUGGGACUGAGACACGGCCCAGACUCCUACGGGAGGCAGCAGUGGGGAAUAUUGGACAAUGGGCGCAAGCCUGAUCCAGCCAUGCCGCGUGGAUGAUGAAGGCCCUAGGGUUGUAAAGUCCUUUCGGCGGGGAAGAUAAUGACGGUACCCGCAGAAGAAGCCCCGGCUAACUUCGUGC
rnacentral:rRNA from 1 species